AGCUAGUUGGUCAAGUGGUAUGAUUUCUGUCCACAGCAGUGCACGGAAGGUCACGGGUUUAAUCCCCGUAUCGGCCU
rnacentral:tRNA from 13 species